CUCUAAUAGCGUAUAUUAAAGUUGUUGCAGUUAAAAAGCUCGUAGUUGGAUUGAGGUCGAUCGGGCGGGCGGCGCAAGUUGCACUGCUUGGUCGGCUUCUUUCUUCCGUGUGACCAGCGGCAUUCACUUGUCGUUGUAAUUGCGCGGAUCGUUUACUGUGAAAAAAUUAGAGUGUUCAAGGCAGGCGUUUGCUUGAAUAC
rnacentral:rRNA from 1 species